UAUCCCCGCUGUUUCUGCGGAGCGAGUUUCGGUUUUGGGAAGCCGCCGUCGGAGCGAGUCCGCGGAGAGGCUGGUCGCGCGACCGCCGGGAGCGGAGCGCUUUUGCUCGUUCGCCGGUUUUCGGUUUUUCCUGGCGCUUUUCUUUCUUUCCGUUUGUUUUCGCGAUUUUUGUUUUGUGCGCGAGCGCGGGUGUGCGCGUGUGUGUGCAGCCGCUCGCGUGGCGGUCGGCGGUCGCUCGGAAGGAGCGCGUUUGUGGCAGCCGCUUUUUCUUUUCGCGCUGUGCGCCGGUCGGGUUCGCGGAUUUAGCGAGUGCGAGGUGCCGGUCUUCUAAAGACGCGGUGGUUUUUUUCUUUUAAACAUGUAUUUUCUCGAUCUCGGUUUGGGGAAAGUGCCGAUUUAAGAUCUAAACGGGGAAGGAAGGACAUGGGUGCCUCUUCCUCGUCGGUACAGGAUGGGAUUUUUAAGGUUCUAGUUGAGUUGUUAGAAUUUAAGAAAGCUAGGUUUUCUAAAAGUUGUGUAAAGCGAUUUUCGCAAUGGCUCUGUGUGAUCUUCCCAGAAAUCUCGCGAGCACACGCCCACAGCCCGCAUUUUUGGAGCGCUGCGGAGCAGAAAUUGGCAGAUUUGGCAGAUGCAAAAAGCAGAGACCCGCAAAAAUUUGCGGCCUUAAUUCUGCAGCUCAAAGCCGCAGCGGCGGACUUCAGAGAACUUGAAAAAGAGCCAUUGCGAGGACAGCUUGUCCCGGUUCGCCCUUCCCGCAGCCCCAAACCCUCUCCCCGCAAAAAAGGAAUUUUAAGGAAAGCGGCAGACAAAAGGUCUACCAGCCCCGGCUUUUUUCAAAAUUUCCUGUUCCCCCCCGCCUGCGUAGUCUGGGCCGGACUGCGCGGGAUGCUUCUAGGAGCCCUGGCCCGGCGUCUAGAAGUCCUUCCCCCACCCCGAUUUCUCCCAGUUCCAAGCCAAAAGUUUAUUUUAAAGUUGCUGCGCCACAGACGCCUCGUGGUGGUGGCUGUGGCGUCCAAGAUGCCGGGGACCGCGUGGUCCGUUCACCAUCCCCCGCUCCUUGUCCCCACAAUCCUCUUUGUUCUCCCCACCCUUCCCCUUCACCCCACCCCCUCCCGUCCUCUACCCCACCCACCUGCCCUGCCCCCGAGCCCGCCCAUGGACCCGCCUGCCAGGCGGGGCCAGGGGCGGAGUCCCCGGCGUGUCCCCACCCCGGAAUUCGGUCAUGUUGUUUGUUUGGUUCCCACGGUGACGCUUCCGGUUCCCACGGUCGGAACCAGGACGUAAACAACCGGGAACCAGGGAGUCAGCAGGCUUGCUUCACUGCUGCUCCGGUGACAUUCAGGCGCUCCCGGGGGAACACCAGUGACGAUCCACCCCGCACACUUCAUUCCAUGCUCCAAGUGUGUCAGGUCAAGGUUCCUUUCCUCAGCCGUGGGACUCAGCCUCGACCACCUCUGGCAUCUUCUCUCCCGCGACCUCCACAUGGGGCUCAAGCGUCCCUUGCAGGCCAGACACUGCACAAGCCUUUCCAACGCCGCUCGUCCUUCCGUGGCGAGCAGCAACAGCAGUGCUGCUUCUGCGGAGAAGAAGGACACUGGGCUGCCUCCUGUCCUCACAAACACCAAGGACAGACGACAACGCCCCGAACACCUGGGACUCCUCCACCUUUUCAGCUACAGCCAAAAAAGUAAAGGAGGAGCACGGGUCCACCCAGCGCGAGGACUCUAAUCGGGUGGACCAGGUAAGGGGGUCAACCAAUUUGUGAUAAUUCACCGGACUGGAGAUUUCUCUCUCCUGAAUUUGAACUUGCAAAACCAAUUUUAACAACUAAUUCUCUUUACGAAUCUUACAGGUUGCAGAUCACAGAGCAUGUGAUUCUAAGUGACCACGACUGGCAUUUUGUUACCGCAGAUCCUUGCAGUGUCAGCGACUGGCCAUUGGUAGAGUGCAGACCGACCACAAGAGAAGAUUCCUAUUUUGUUCCUAUUCCAUUUUCCCCCACCAAGACUCCUUUUUCUUGUUUAAUAACAAUAAUUCUGCAUAACAUACUCAACUUCUCUGAAUAAAUGCCAUUCACUCUUCUAUUCUAAAAAAUGCAAAUGAAAGAAUUUA